UGGGGAAUUUUGGACAAUGGGGGCAACCCUGAUCCAGCAAUGCCGCGUGUGUGAAGAAGGCCUUCGGGUUGUAAAGCACUUUUGUCCGGAAAGAAAACGCCGUGGUUAAUACCCGUGCGGAUGACGGUACCGGAAGAAUAAGCACCGGCUAACUACGUGCCAGCAGCCGCGGUAAUACGUAGGGUGCAAGCGUUAAUCGGAAUUACUGGGCGUAAAGCGUGCGCAGGCGGUCCGCUAAGACAGAUGUGAAAAUCCCCGGGGCUUAACCUGGGAACUGCAUUUGUGACUGGCGGGCUAGAGUAUGGCAGAGGGGGGUAAAUUCCACGUGUAGCAGUGAAAUGCGUAGAGAUGUGGAGGAAUACCGAUGGCGAAGGCAGCCCCCUGGGCCAAUACUGACGCUCAUGCACGAAAAGCGUGGGGGAGCAAACAGGUUCAGAUACCCUGUAGUCCGCGCCCUAAACGAUGUNAACUAGUUGUCGGGUCUUCAUUGACUUGGUAACGUAGCUAACGCGUGAAGUUGACCGCCUGGGGAGUACGGUCGCAAGAUUAAAACUUAAAUGAAUUGACGGGGUCUGCUGUUUCC
rnacentral:rRNA from 1 species